rnacentral:rRNA from 1 species
GAUGAACGCUGGCGGCGUGCCUAAUACAUGCAAGUCGAGCGAACAGACGAGGAUCUUGCUCCUCUGACGUUAGCGGCGGACGGGUGAGUAACACGUGGAUAACCUACCUAUAAGACUGGGAUAACUUCGGGAAACCGGAGCUAAUACCGGAUAAUAUAUUGAACCGCAUGGUUCAAUAGUGAAAGACGGUUUUGCUGUCACUUAUAGAUGGAUCCGCGCCGCAUUAGCUAGUUGGUAAGGUAACGGUUUACUAAGGCAACGAUGCGUAGCCGACCUGGGAGGGUGAUCGGCCACACUGGCACUGAGACACGGUCCAGACUCCUACGGGAGGCAGCAGUAGGGAAUCUUCCGCAAUGGGCGAAAGCCUGACGGAGCAACGCCGCGUGAGUGAUGAAGGUCUUCGGAUCGUAAAACUCUGUUAUUAGGGAAGAACAAAUGUGUAAGUAACUAUGCACGUCUUGACGGUACCUGAACAGAAAGCCACGGCUAACUACGUG